AGGGGAAACGACAUCGAAAGCUUGCUUUUGAUGGGCGUCGACCGGCGCACGGGUGAGUAACGCGUAUCCAACCUGCCCACCACUUGGGGAUAACCUUGCGAAAGUAAGACUAAUACCCAAUGACGUCUCUAGAAGACAUCUGAAAGAGAUUAAAGGUUUAUCGGUGAUGGAUGGGGAUGCGUCUGAUUAGCUUGUUGGCGGGGUAACGGCCCACCAAGGCGACGAUCAGUAGGGGUUCUGAGAGGAAGGUCCCCCACAUUGGAACUGAGACACGGUCCAAACUCCUACGGGAGGCAGCAGUGAGGAAUACUGGUCAAUGGGCGAGAGCCUGAACCAGCCAAGUAGCGUGCAGGAUGACGGCCCUAUGGGUUGUAAACUGCUUUUAUAAGGGAAUAAAGUGAGUCUCGUGAGACUUUUUGCAUGUACCUUAUGAAUAAGGACCGGCUAAUUCCGUGCCAGCAGCCGCGGUAAUACGGAAGGUCCGGGCGUUAUCCGGAUUUAUUGGGUUUAAAGGGAGCGUAGGCCGGAGAUUAAGCGUGUUGUGAAAUGUAGACGCUCAACGUCUGCACUGCAGCGCGAACUGGUUUCCUUGAGUACGCACAAAGUGGGCGGAAUUCGUGGUGUAGCGGUGAAAUGCUUAGAUAUCACGAAGAACUCCGAUUGCGAAGGCAGCUCACUGGAGCGCAACUGACGCUGAAGCUCGAAAGUGCGGGUAUCGAACAGGAUUAGAUACCCUGGUAGUCCGCACGGUAAACGAUGGAUGCCCGCUGUUGGUCUGAAUAGGUCAGCGGCCAAGCGAAAGCAUUAAGCAUCCCACCUGGGGAGUACGCCGGCAACGGUGCAACUCAAAGGAAG
rnacentral:rRNA from 1 species